GUCUCCGUCGGUGAACCAGCGGAGGGAUCAUUACAGGACUCGCAAGACUCCUUCACCCUGUGAACCUCACUACAAGCACGUUGCUUCGGCGGGUGUCCCGGCGGGGGUUUUCCCUCGCCGGGGCGCACAGCCCGCCGGCAGCCUACUAUACUCUGUCUCUUUGCGUUGGCAUCUCGAGAAAAAACAAACAAGUUAAAACUUUCAACAACGGAUCUCUUGGUUCUG
rnacentral:misc_RNA from 1 species